rnacentral:rRNA from 1 species
AGAGUUUGAUCCUGGCUCAGAACGAACGCUGGCGGCAUGCCUAACACAUGCAAGUCGAACGCCUUUUGGAUUUCGGUCCGGGAGGAGUGGCGCACGGGUGAGUAGCGCGUGGGAACCUGCCCUUUUGUGGGGGAUAACCGAGGGAAACUUCGGCUAAUACCGCAUGCGCCCCCGGGGAGACCUGGGGGGAAAGAUUUAUC